UGGGGAAUUUUGCACAAUGGGGGAAACCCUGAUGCAGCGACGCCGCGUGAUUUAGAAGGCCUUCGGGUUGUAAAAAUCUUUUCUAUGGGAAGAAAAUGACAGUACCAUAGGAAUAAGGACCGGCUAAUUACGUGCCAGCAGCCGCGGUAAUACGUAAGGUCCGAGCGUUGUCCGGAAUCAUUGGGCGUAAAGGGUACGUAGGCGGGUAAGCAAGUUAGAAGUGAAAUCCUAUAGCUCAACUAUAGUAAGCUUUUAAAACUACUCGACUUCACGUAUGGAAGGGAAAGAGGAAUUCCUAGUGUAGUGGUGAAAUGAACAGAUAUUAGGAGGAAUACCGGUGGCGAAGGAGACUUUCUGGCCAUAACCUGACGCUGCGGUACGAAAGCGUGGGUAGCAAACAAG
rnacentral:rRNA from 1 species